AGCUGAUAAAUGAAUUCUCUUUCACAAAAUUCUUUCUAUUCUCUCACGUUCCAUGGAACCCACAUUAAGAAACACUCAACUUAAAGCAUGGGAAGCAUUGCUGUACCUGUGUCCAUGUUCAAAUAAAGAGAUGCCUGCAGCCCAUGAAGUCACAGAAAAAAAAAAACCCAACGACAACAACAAAAACACCUCUCAUAGCCAAUAUUGUCAACACAGGAAAUGACUUCGGUGAUAAUUCAAUAUCCUUAACAAAUGCCUGUUCUUCUGGCUUUCAAA
rnacentral:lncRNA from 13 species